rnacentral:lncRNA from 1 species
GAUUGGAAUUGACAGCACACCCAACUUUCUGAGGAAAGGAUGGGACAUUAGCAAUCAAUGACAAUAAGGUUUAUUUGCCUCUGCAUCAAGUUUUGGCACUUUUUAAAAUCAUGCAUUCCCUUUCUGUUGGUUUCUCAGCCCAACAUUUGGUGAAAGUAUUCAUCCUUAGUGAACAGUGCCUAGAGGAAGGCUUCAAGGGCACAUGAGCAGAUCUCCUGAUCCAGUGAGACAAAGGCUGAAAUCUUGGAGUAGAAGCAUGCCUGACUGCCCGAUCUUCUAUAACAGUAUCAGGGACUCAAUCUAUCCCGGGCUAGGGCUUCUGCUACUUCAUGUCACAUCGGUCACUGGGUCCCAUGCUAUGAGUGCUGACAGGAAAUAACACUUGAGAAAGUGGAAGACCAGAAUGAAAUCUGAAGGCCCGAUGCUCACUGCAGUAAACUACAGCAAAUGAAAUACUUACAUAUGAUUGUGGAAGAGGUGGACAUACGGCUAGACCACCCAAUGUGUGGAUUAGCACCUCAGUUUCUGAAAUGAUUGGCAUUGUUUCUUCUAAGGCAGGUUUGCUUUGAAUUCUGUGACAAUGUGAGUUUAGACUAAAGUUAUCUCUUUGGAAAAAAGAUAUAGACAUUAAAAUAGAAUGUGCAAUGAAACUACUAUCCAUACUAUGAAUAUUUAAUAUUUAUGAUAACAGCUGCAAUAACAAUGUUACUUUUGUGUUUAAUCAUAAUGACAUUUGAAGCCCAAAUAAUGUAGUCAGUUUCUACAUUAGUAAUUUAGUAUGAAGUGAGCCACUUUUUUUUUCAGCUACUACUUACCAGUUUUGAUUCUUAAAUUGUGGAAGAGUCACCAAUGUAUUUGUCACUGGAAGUUUCAUCUGUUAAUAAGUGUUGUACUAUGAUACAGAAUGAACAGGUGAUGCUAAAUAAGGUCGAAACGAAUUAAUGAUUGCCCAUUAGGUGAUAUUCCAGGCUAGGUCAGGGAACACUGAAAAUAAAACCUAAUUAUUCUCAAUUGAAAAUUUCA